rnacentral:rRNA from 1 species
CAGCCGCCGCGGUAAAACGUAGGUGGCAAGCGUUGUCCGGAAUUAUUGGGCGUAAAGCGUGCGCAGGCGGUUGUGUAAGACAGGUGUGAAAUCCCCGGGCUUAACCUGGGAACUGCGCUUGUGACUGCACAGCUAGAGUAUGGCAGAGGGGGGUGGAAUUCCACGUGUAGCAGUGAAAUGCGUAGAGAUGUGGAGGAACACCGAUGGCGAAGGCAGCCCCCCGGGCCAAUACUGACGCUCAUGCACGAAAGCGUGGGGAGCAAACAGGAUUAGAGACCCCAGUAGUCCCUGUCUCUUAUAC